GAUGAACGCUGGCGGCGUGCCUAAUACAUGCAAGUCGAGCGAACAGACGAGGAGCUUGCUCCUCUGACGUUAGCGGCGGACGGGUGAGUAACACGUGGAUAACCUACCUAUAAGACUGGGAUAACUUCGGGAAACCGGAGCUAAUACCGGAUAAUAUAUUGAACCGCAUGGUUCAAUAGUGAAAGACGGUUUUGCUGUCACUUAUAGAUGGAUCCGCGCCGCAUUAGCUAGUUGGUAAGGUAACGGCUUACCAAGGCAACGAUGCGUAGCCGACCUGAGAGGGUGAUCGGCCACACUGGAACUGAGACACGGUCCACACUCCUACGGGAGGCAGCAGUAGGGAAUCUUCCGCCAUGGGCGAAAGCCUGACGGAGCACCGCCGCGUGAGUGAUGAAGGUCUUCGGAUCGUAAAACUCUGUUAUUAGGGAAGAACAAAUGUGUAAGUAACUAUGCACGUCUUGACGGUACCUAAUCAGAACGCCACGGCUAACUACGUG
rnacentral:rRNA from 1 species